UACGUAGGGUGCAAGCGUUAAUCGGAAUUACUGGGCGUAAAGCGUGCGCAGGCGGUUAUGCAAGACAGAUGUGAAAUCCCCGGGCUCAACCUGGGAACUGCAUUUGUGACUGCAUGGCUAGAGUACGGUAGAGGGGGAUGGAAUUCCGCGUGUAGCAGUGAAACGCGUAGAUAUGCGGAGGAACACCGAUGGCGAAGGCAAUCCCCUGGACCUGUACUGACGCUCAUGCACGAAAGCGUGGGGAGCAAACAGG
rnacentral:rRNA from 1 species